rnacentral:rRNA from 1 species
CCUACGGGUGGCAGCAGUGAGGAAUAUUGGUCAAUGGUCGGGAGACUGAACCAGCCAAGCCGCGUGAGGGAUGAAGGUACAGAGUAUCGUAAACCUCUUUUGUCAGGGAACAAAGGCGGGGACGCGUCCACGGAUGAGUGUACCUGAAGAAAAAGCAUCGGCUAACUCCGUUCCAGCAGCCGCGGUAAUAGGGGGGAUGCGAGCGUUAUCGGGAUUGAUUGGGGUAAAGGGGUGCGCAGGCGGUCUGUUAGGUCAGCGGUCAAAGCCCGGGGCUCAACCCCGAACCGCCGUUGAAACUGGCAGUCUCGAGUUGGAGAGAGGUAUGCGGAAUGCGCGGUGUAGCGGUGAAAUGCGUAGAUAUCGCGCAGAACUCCGAUUGCGAAGGCAGCAUGCCGGCUCCACACUGACGCUGAGGCACGAAAGCGUGGGUAUCGAACAGGAUUAGAUACCCUUGUAGUC